CACGUAGGCACCAAGCGUUGUCCGGAUUUAUUGGGCGUAAAGAGCUCGUAGGCGGUUCGGUAAGUCGGGUGUGAAAACUCUGGGCUCAACCCUGGAAAAGCCGGGUGGAUACUGUCGGGCUAGAGUCCGGAAGAGGCGAGUGGAAUUCCUGGUGUAGCGGUGGAAUGCGCAGAUAUCAGGAGGAACACCGGUGGCGAAGGCGGGUCUCUGGGCCGAUACUGACGCUGAGGCGCGAAAGCUAGGGGAGCAAACGGG
rnacentral:rRNA from 1 species